rnacentral:rRNA from 1 species
AUGGCAGAGGAACCAUCCGCCAAGCGUCAUCAUGCCGAGAAGUCGAACAAGAGCAGCAACCUCGUCGACAUUCACGUCCCCGGUGAGAAGCGUGAGUACACAACAAUCCUCAAAGGGGUUGAGCUCCAUGGCAAUGAGACGCUGGAGAUCUUCUGCACCAGCGUACCAGAAAAGGCCGACGAGGUGAUGACCAGGCUCUGGAAGAAGCUUGGCGACAAGAGUCCGAGUCGUAGGAUCAUCGACAUUGUUGUGCACUACACCAACGAAGAUGAACCUCCCCAGAUGGCAGUAGUCCUGCAGUUGUGCAUCGAGGAGCUCUGCUUGGUGUACCACAUCGCCGCGGCCACAAAAUGGCCCAAGCGCCUGACCAAGAUGCUGCAGCAUGAGAAGUUGGUCACAUUUGCCGGUUUCAGCAUUGAAAGCGACAAAGAGAAGCUGAAGUUGUCCGGUAUGGAGAUCAACCCCAACAAGUUCAUCGACAUUCAGCGCAAGUGGAGAGUUCCAUACACCAAAAAAGAGUAUGACUCCUUGACUGAUGUUGCAGCCAGCGUCAUCCACCCAUUCUAA